rnacentral:lncRNA from 1 species
AAUUUCCCUUCUUCUUUUUUUAGGAGCUCUGCAGAUUCUGGCCUCUAGGUGCACGACCGCCAAACUUCCAGCUGGAGCCUCUUCUUGUUGAUCAGUGCGGGCUCGGUUUUCUUCAGCAGUAAAUUCGGCGUCCAUCGCGUCGUCCAGUUCCCUUUCCAGUCGCUGUUGAAGGGUGUUCAUUCCCUCCUCUAGCAGCUGCUCGGGAGUAGGCGGAGGGAGCUCAUGCGGUUCGAGUGGAGUCAUUAUUAGCCUCUGUAUGUAUUCUGGUUCAAAGCGGAUUCUUUCUGCCAUUUCUAGCCGAGUUGUUUCUCCAUUUUUCAGCAUCCGAGCAACGUGAUUGACCCAGCAUAUGGAUGGUCUCUCCUGUGGGAUUCCGAGGGCUAUACGUCGUUCUUGCUCCAGGCGUUUUCGCUGAUCAGAUGCCUCCUUGGCUCGGGCCUCAUUAGACAGACGCUGCUGUUCAAGUGCAAUCUGCUCACGGU